rnacentral:tRNA from 1 species
UGCCGAGUUGUGUAGUGGUAGCACGGGGGACUUUGGAUCCCUAAGCCCAGGUUCGAAUCCUGGCUCGGCAGCCA